rnacentral:lncRNA from 1 species
UGAAAUUUUGACCCAAAUCUUUUGGAUUUGCAUUUUUUUUCCAAAUCGUUUUCUAUCAAUAAUCUUGGUAAAGAGAUCUGAAAUUUUUCCCAAAUAUUUUGGAUUUGCAUUUUUAAUUGCCACUGAAAAUGAAUAUUGUAUGUUUGUAAUUAAUUUUAUGCUUUAAUAUUAUAAUUUCGAUUUUAGGGAUGACAAGCUUAUGCAAUUAAAGGUUGUAAUUUUAACUGGGAAAACAAAAACCAGAAAAAGAAAUGGUGGAUCAACAAAAUACAAAAUAAAAGAACAAGAAGAAGAUGAAAUAGCAUCUGUAACUUGAUAAAAAGAUGGGAGAAAGUGGAAAACAGCAAGCCUGUAAUCGCCGUCGAAGUAGUGCCGUAAUGACUUUACUUUUGACGGAGAAGAGAGAAAGGUCAUUGAAGGAGAAGGAAAAUGUUGUUGUUAAUUUUUUAAGAUUAAAUCUGGACCAUUAAAAACAUUCAUUGACACAUGGCAAACAUCUAUAAGAAACUGGAGCAAAGUGGAGCAUAAGAAAAUGGAGCUGAUCUGGACUCUAAAUUCGGGAGGCAGUCGUGAUAUAAAUUCUCGUGAUACAUAGCACUCCUCUUUAUUUUAUGCUUAUGCAAGUUGUCCUUCUUAAUUACUUCGAGAGGAAACAUUUGCCAUAGUAUUUACCCCGCAUUGACAUUGCUUUUAAUAUUAAUUUCCAUAGUAAAAGAAAAUAUUGCAUUUGAAAAUAUAUUAAUGUGAUGAAAUUCAUAGUCCUAGCAUUUAUCGUAUCAUAUCUUUAUAAAAAGAGAAUUUACAUAUCACCAAAAAAAAAAAGAGAAUUUAC